rnacentral:rRNA from 1 species
GAAAUUCGCAACGCGGGAUUGCCUAAUUUUGCAAGUCGAGCGAAUGGAUUAAGAGCUUGCUCUUAUGAAGUUAGCGGCGGACGGGUGAGUAACACGUGGGUAACCUGCCCAUAAGACUGGGAUAACUCCGGGAAACCGGGGCUAAUACCGGAUAACAUUUUGAACCGCAUGGUUCGAAAUUGAAAGGCGGCUUCGGCUGUCACUUAUGGAUGGACCCGCGUCGCAUUAGCUAGUUGGUGAGGUAACGGCUCACCAAGGCAACGAUGCGUAGCCGACCUGAGAGGGUGAUCGGCCACACUGGGACUGAGACACGGCCCAGACUCCUACGGGAGGCAGCAGUAGGGAAUCUUCCGCAAUGGACGAAAGUCUGACGGAGCACCGCCGCGUGAGUGAUGAAGGCUUUCGGGUCGUAAAACUCUGUUGUUAGGGAAGAACAAGUGCUAGUUGAAUAAGCUGGCACCUUGACGGUACCUAACCAGAAAGCCACGGCUAACUACGUGCCAGCAGCCGCGGUAAUACGUAGGUGGCAAGCGUUAUCCGGGAUUAUUGGGCGUAAAGCGCGGGGCAGGUGGUUUCUAAUUCUUGAUGUGAAACCCCAGGGC